ACUAAUACGCUAGCCAAGAAAAUUAAAUUCCUCAUAUAUUAACUAAAACAUUCAUCAUCCUAGUAUAGGCGAUAGAAAAGAAUCUAAGAAGCAAUAGAAAAAGUACCGUAAGGGAAAGCUGAAAAAGAAAUUAAAUAAACCAUAAAAGUUUAAAAUAGCAGGAAUUAUUAUCCGUACCUUUUGCAUUAUGAUCUAGUAAGAAUAAAAAGCAAAAUGACCUUAAGUUAUUUUUCCCGAAACUAGACGAGCUAUUUAAGAGCAAUAAUUUUAAACCCGUCUCUGUGGCAAAAGAGUGGACAGACUUUUAAAUAGAGGUGACAUGCCUACCGAGCCUAGUGAUAGCUGGUUAUUCAUUAAACGAGCCCAAACUCCACCUUAAAACAUUAUUUUAAUCCAGGACAAUAUAAAUUAAAUAUUAAGAGCCAUUCAUUAAGGGAACAGCCCUAAUGAAAAAGGAUACAACCUUCAAUCACGGAUAAUGAUUAUAAUUUCAUUAAGGUAAAUAUUUUUAGUAAGCUCAAAAGCAGCUACCUAUUAUGAAAGCGUCACAGCUCAUCUAUAUUACAAACCAAAAAUUAUAAUACCAAAUCAAAAUCCACAUACAACUAAUGAAUUAACUAUAAUUAACUAUAGUAAAAUUAUACUAGAAUGAGUAAUAAGAAAAUACAUUUUUCUCCCAAUCUAAGUGUUGAUCAGAACGAAUAAGUCACUGUUAUACACCGAUUUUUAAAUUAUAAAUAAUUAACAAGAUAUUCAUUAAUUCACUAUCGUUUAACCCUACACAGGAAGAUUAAUUAGGAAAGACUAAAAAAUAAAGAAGGAACUCAGCAAACCCAAAUUUCGCCUGUUUACCAAAAACAUCGCCUCCAGGAACUUAUAUAUGGAGGUACUGCCUGCCCAGUGACUCUGUUUAACGGCCGCGGUAUUCUGACCGUGCAAAGGUAGCAUAAUCACUUGUCCUUUAAAUAGGGACUAGUAUGAAUGGCAAAACGAAAAUUUAACUGUCUCCUUUAUUGAGUCAAUAAAACUGAUCUUUUCGUACAAAAGCGAAAAUAUUAAUAUAAGACGAGAAGACCCUAUGGAGCUUUAAACACGUCAUCAACUGUAAAUUAAAACUACACCCAUGAUUGACUGUUUUCGGUUGGGGCGACCACGGAGAAAAUAAAACCUCCGAAUUAAAUGCUUAGAACACACACCAACGCGCUAGGAUAUCUAAAUUUAUUGACCCAAUAAACUUGAUCAACGAACCAAGUUACCCUAGGGAUAACAGCGCAAUCUUAUCUGAGAGUCCCUAUCGAAGAGAAGGUUUACGACCUCGAUGUUGGAUCAGGAUAUCCAAGUAGUGCAACCGCUACUAACGGUUUGUUUGUUCAACAAAUAAAAUCCUACGUGAUCUGAGUUCAGACCGGAGCAAUCCAGGUCAGUUUCUAUCUAUUUAAUGAUUCUUUUCAAUACGAAAGGACCAAAAGAACAGGACCUAUACUACAAGCAUGUCCUUAGUAAUCUUAUGAAACCAACUCAAUACUAUUAUAGUAUUUUACCCCAAGAUAAGGGGUUUA
rnacentral:rRNA from 1 species